ACUCCUGGAGACGCGGAGGCCCGGGCGCUCCAGACCAGUGUCCUUGUAGGAGGCUUCUUCACGAAGCUUAGAGUUUGGCCUUUCAUAGGGAAAGACUUGCUCGGGAGCAAGUCUAAGGGAUUUUAAGGGAUUUUAAAUCUUCCUGGGCCAGGGCUAGGGAGCUCUAGUGACAGUGUCUUGGUCUGGAAUCCAACUCUCCAAUUUUGAGGCCGCAGGGAGGAAUUCUGAGACUUUAGAGGCCGCACAGCCUUCAGCGCGCUCACCGCGUCCAGGCGUCAGUGAGGGGCUAUCUCGAGGCGCGAGUGCACAAAAGGUAGCGCGAGUCUCUUCUCAGGCGAUCCAGAUAAGAGGAAAUGAGAGCCGGGUUUUCUGACUUCCAACUCAUUAGGGACCAGGUUCUUUUUCUUCAGGAUCAGGCACAGAGACUGACUGAAUGGCUCCAAUUAUCAGGAUUUGAAAACCCAGUAUCAGAAUCUACCACUUUGUAUGGAGAAACUGAGGCCCAGAAAUUGAUGUCCAGAAUGCUUUGCUCUUAGCCACUGUACUAUUAUGGCAUAUUUUAUCUUUAUGUAUUGCAUCAUUUCAUGGAUUCAAGUUUAUCAAUGUCCUUUGACAAGUUUAAAAAUCUGUCUGCUAAAAUCUAUCCAAUACAUUAAGGAAAAGUCCCACUUGGCACAUCUCC
rnacentral:lncRNA from 1 species